rnacentral:rRNA from 1 species
CCUACGGGCGGCUGCAGUGGGGAAUAUUGGACAAUGGGCGAAAGCCUGAUCCAUCCAUGCCGCGUGUGUGAAGAAGGCCUUCGGGUUGUAAAGCACUUUCAGUGGGGAAGAAAGCCUUGGGGCUAAUACCCUCGAGGAAGGACAUCACCCACAGAAGAAGCACCGGCUAACUCCGUGCCAGCAGCCGCGGUAAUACGGAGGGUGCGAGCGUUAAUCGGAAUUACUGGGCGUAAAGCGCGCGUAGGCGGUCUGAUAAGCCGGUUGUGAAAGCCCCGGGCUCAACCUGGGAACGGCAUCCGGAACUGUCAGGCUAGAGUGCAGGAGAGGAAGGUAGAAUUCCCGGUGUAGCGGUGAAAUGCGUAGAGAUCGGGAGGAAUACCAGUGGCGAAGGCGGCCUUCUGGACUGACACUGACGCUGAGGUGCGAAAGCGUGGGUAGCAAACAGGAUUAGAUACCCUUGUAGUC